GCAUGAAAUUUGGCACAGGGGUUGCUAAGAGGUUACUUUUAGAUUUUAGAAGGGUAGCCCUCUUGGAUUUGGUGUGGUUUACCUUGUAGCGGCCAAUGAAGA